rnacentral:rRNA from 1 species
GACGAACGCUGGCGGCGUGCCUAAUACAUGCAAGUAGAACGCAGUUGCGAACGGGUGAGUAACGCGUAGGUAACUGCCUCAUAGCGGGGGAUAACUUUUUGAAACGAUAGCUAAUACCGCCUUCUGUGAGAUGGACCUGCUUUGUAUUAGCUAGUUGGUGAGGUAAAGGCGCACCAAGGCCACGAUCCAUAGCCGACCUGAGAGGGGGGUCGGCCAAAAUGGGACCGAGACACGGGCCAGACUCCCACGGGAGGCAGCAGUAGGGAAUCUUCGGACAUGGGCGGAAGUCUGAACGAGGCAAGCCGCGGGAGUGGAGAAGGUUCUCGGAGCGUAAAGCUACGUUGUUAGAGAAGCGGUAACUAAACAAUAAGGGACGGCUAACUACGUGCCAGCAGCCGCGGUAAUAC